rnacentral:rRNA from 1 species
UACGGGGGGGAGCAAGCGUUGUUCGGAUUUACUGGGCGUAAAGGGCGCGUAGGCGGUCAGCACAAGUCAGUUGUGAAAUCUCCGAGCUUAACUCGGAAAGGUCAACUGAUACUGUGCGACUAGAGUGCGGAAGGGGCAACUGGAAUUCUUGGUGUAGCGGUGAAAUGCGUAGAUAUCAAGAGGAACACCUGCGGCGAAGGCGGGUUGCUGGGCCGACACGUGACGCUGAAGCGCGAAAGCCAGGGGAGCGAACGGG